CCUACGGGCCGCACCAGUGGGGAAUAUUGCACAAUGGGCGCAAGCCUGAUGCAGCCAUGCCGCGUGUAUGAAGAAGGCCUUCGGGUUGUAAAGUACUUUCAGCGGGGAGGAAGGUGUUGUGGUUAAUAACCACAGCAAUUGACGUUACCCGCAGAAGAAGCACCGGCUAACUCCGUGCCAGCAGCUGCAGUAAUACGGAGGGUGCAAGCGUUAAUCGGAAUUACUGGGCGUAAAGCGCACGCAGGCGGUCUGUCAAGUCGGAUGUGAAAUCCCCGGGCUCAACCUGGGAACUGCAUUCGAAACUGGCAGGCUAGAGUCUUGUAGAGGGGGGUAGAGUUCCAGGUGUAGCGGUGAAAUGCGUAGAGAUCUGGAGGAAUACCGGUGGCGAAGGCGGCCCCCUGGACAAAGACUGACGCUCAGGUGCGAAAGCGUGGGGAGCAAACAGGAUUAGAUACCCCAGUAGUC
rnacentral:rRNA from 1 species